AUUGAACGCUGGCGGCAUGCCUUACACAUGCAAGUCGAACGGCAGCACGGGUGCUUGCACCUGGUGGCGAGUGGCGAACGGGUGAGUAAUACAUCGGAACAUGUCCUGUAGUGGGGGAUAGCCCGGCGAAAGCCGGAUUAAUACCGCAUACGAUCUACGGGUGAAAGCGGGGGACCUUCGGGCCUCGCGCUAUAGGGUUGGCCGAUGGCUGAUUAGCUAGUUGGUGGGGUAAAGGCCUACCAAGGCGACGAUCAGUAGCUGGUCUGAGAGGACGAGCAGCCACACUGGAACUGAGACACGGCCCAGACUCCUACGGGAGGCAGCAGUGGGGAAUUUUGGACAAUGGGCGAAAGCCUGAUCCAGCAAUGCCGCGUGUGUGAAGAAGGCCUUCGGGUUGUAAAGCACUUUUGUCCGGAAAGAAAUCCUUGGCUCUAAUACAGUCGGGGGAUGACGGUACCGGAAGAAUAAGCACCGGCUAACUACGUG
rnacentral:rRNA from 1 species